UACAGAGGUGGCAAGCGUUGUUCGGAAUUACUGGGCGUAAAGGGCUCGUAGGCGGUCAACUAAGUCGGACGUGAAAUCCCUCAGCUUAACUGGGGAACUGCGUCCGAUACUGGAUGGCUUGAGUUUGGGAGAGGGAUGCGGAAUUCCAGGUGUAGCGGUGAAAUGCGUAGAUAUCUGGAGGAACACCGGUGGCGAAGGCGGCAUUCUGGACUGCAACUGACACUGAAGAACGAAAGCCAGGGGAGCAAACGGG
rnacentral:rRNA from 1 species